rnacentral:snRNA from 1 species
GGAUGUGAAGGCAAUCUGGCCGCCCCAUCUGUCACCCCCUUCAUCGCCAGGGUUGACUCGGCUGACCUGGCUGGCUAGGCGGGUGUCCCUGCCUUCUUCACCGCUCCAGGCGUGUCCCUCCCACAGCUGCGUGCCUGGCUGAAGAGGAUGGCCAUUCCUGCUAGAGGAGGACCGCUCUUCGGUCACGGGUAUGAGUAGCUGUGCUCCCCCUCAGAACCUCCAAACAAGCUCUCAGGAUCCAGUACUGAAACUAUGUGAUACAAAAUGAAAAAUCGUAUUUUAUGUGUUUGAGGAAGUGAGACCACUUUGAAA